AAGGCUCAAAAGUGCGGAAACUUAUGGCGACGUUUGAGCCUAAGGUAAACUAUAUUGUGCAUUAUAGGAAUCUGCAGCAGGCAAUCGAUAACGGGUUGAUAGUUGAAAAGGUAAAUAUUUAAUUUUACAUUAUUUUAAAAUAAAUGUUUUAACUUUUUUUUUUUUUUUAUAGGUACAUAGAGUCUUGGAGUUUAGCCAGUCGGAUUGGCUGGCCAAGUAUAUUCAGUUAAAUACCGAUAUGAGAAAGAAAGCGAGAAAUGAUUUUGAAAAAGAUUUUUUCAAGCUCAUGAAUAAUGCGAUUUUUGGGAAAACGAUGCAAUCUAAACGCAAGGAAAUAAAAAUGGAGUUGGUAUCAUGCGAGCGCCGACUCCAAAAACUGAUAAAUAAAACUACAUUUAAACAUUGUACAAGAUAAUAUAGCGAUACCCUUAGCGCUGUUACUUAGCAAAUAAAAUAAUCAAAUUUGAUAAACCUAUAUAUAUUGGAUUCGCGGUAUUGGACAUUAGCAAAACUUUGAUGUAUGAUUAUCAUUAUAAUGUGAUGCAGAGGGACUAUGGUGAAGACAUUACGC